CGGCCGCGGUAUCCUGACCGUGCAAAGGUAGCAUAAUCAUUUGUUCUUUAAAUAGGGACUUGUAUGAAUGGCCACACGAGGGUUUAACUGUCUCUUACUUCUAAUCAGUGAAAUUGACCUUUCCGUGAAGAGGCGGAAAUAAACAAAUAAGACGAGAAGACCCUAUGGAGCUUUAAUUUUCUUAAUCCAUGGAUUAAAAAUUUUGGUUGGGGUGACCUCGGAGAAUAAAAUAACCUCCGAACUAAGACUAACAAGUCUAAGUCAGUCUAACUGAUCAACGGAACAAGUUACCCUAGGGAUAACAGCGCAAUCCUAUUCAAGAGUCCCUAUCGACAAUAGGGUUUACGACCUCSAUGUUGGAUCAGGACAUCCUAAUGGUGCAGCAGCU
rnacentral:rRNA from 1 species